AUUCCAGAGACUCUGUGAGGCCACUAUUACAAGGCAAGUUCGAACAUCUUGGAAUUUCAGAUUUUACAUGGUAUAAAUGGUAAAUGGCCUAUAUUUGUACAGCGCUUUAACUAGUCCCUAAGGACCCCAAAGCGCUUUACACAUUCAGUCAUCCACCCAUUCACACACACAUUCACGCACUGGUGAUGGCAAGCUACAUAUACAAAUAUCAUAUAUAUGUGACAGGCAAAAACUAGCAAACACUUUUUGCAGUUAAAACAACUUAUACUUGAAUGGAGAAUGUUACACCAUCACUUAUGGAUAUAUUAGUUUUUCGCCUCUCACUGCUUAAGCCAUUAAUCUUUCUGGAAUUGUUCUUUGAAACAGAUGCUGAUAGGUUUGUAGCUUGAACCUAUCCGCUGGAACGUUGAAGGCAAUGUAAUUACACAACAAGCAAGACACGAGUAGGCAACAUUCUUUAUGUUUCACGUGCACGGGAGAGAACUGGACAGGCGCCGUUCCUUCGCUUGACCCCAGUUGCUCUCGUCUGCUCUCCCGUAACACUGCUCUUUUAUUGCGGUUACAUGAAUAUGCAUAGGUUCUUUAACAUAUGACGUAUACAUACACACAAAGAGUACCUUGCCUGUGAUUUUGUGUAAGCGUGUGUGUGUGUGUGUGUGUGUGGGUGUGUGGGGUCGAGAUAUGACCCCGUGAAGACUCCCCAAAGCUGGUGCCAGGAGUCUAGCGGUCCAUCUAAACAAAAGGCUCUUAGACUCAAACAGAUAUACAUAUGUUUGCUAUACCAUAUAUCAGCAAGAGAAGAUACGACCUCUCCUAGGAGGUGUGUGAUCUAUGCCAGAACACUCUGAAGAGGAGUGAACGCACUCCCCUCUUCAUGCUACACAGAGUUGUUACAGACCUCCUAGGAUGAGACAUUCUUUCAAUCUACAAAUGAUUAUAUACUUCUAAGCAUAUAUGAGUAAAUAUUUCUAAGCAUAAAUGACAAUAAACAAUACAAAUCUAACAGAUGCAACCUCACAAAAGAUGUUAACUAUGCUGUCUGACCUGACGAGAUCUCUUAACGAACUCCGUGAGGAGGUCAGAGCCAUCCGCAAUACCAGCUCCAAUGAAUCGGUAGAUGCUGGGGUACUCCCUUUGGAUUUGCCCUUGCACAACAUUGAGGAGCUAAACAAUGCAGAGGCAGCUCUUCAAUCGCAAGAGGCAAAUAAGGCAAUGGUGAGACGCUUUGCCUUGAUUGGAGGGACCACACUGGAAGUGCAAGUCCGCCGUGUAAUGGCUUAUGCCAUCACAAACGAGCUGGCCUCGGUACUAAACUGGGCAGGGAAAAAAACAAAGGACCAGACGAAGCAAAAAAGGGCAUUUAAAGAUACUGCGCUGUGCAGAUGCAUAUUUGGUAAGUUUUACCGUUUAUUGUAGUUUUAUGAGCCUAAAGUGAACAAUAAAGGGAUCGAUUGAUCUGCUUGGUGUGUUUCACAUGUCCUAUGUCCGGUUUUUGCUAUAUUACUUUGUCUUUUUUAAUAACAAGACUUUCAUGUCUGGUUAAUCUGGAGAUGGAGUCUUUGGUCUUUGGCUUGUUUAGUCCUCGGGUUGUAGUUUGUACAGCCCGAGGACCCCAUGUUUAUUUUGUUUUAAAGGAUGCACGGCACACCAUGCUAAGACUUAUCACUUUUUCCGCUCAUAGCUCUUUGGGAAUCAAAUGCGGCAGUUUGCAGAUUUACGCCUGGUGACUUUCAUGUUUAUCAGCCUAGGAGUUUACAUACUUUCUCCCUGCUGAAGACAGAUAACAAGAGCUUAUUCAUGUGCUCUAAUUCCCUUUUUUUGUUUGUGUGUGUGUGUAUUUUUGUCCUAAAUGGCCUGACGCAGCAGUUAGGGGCAAACUCUAUGUCAGAGUUUGUCUUUGCACAGGCAGUGCAGAAAUGGCUCCGAUAUGCCCCAGACCGUUUGGGUGGCAAUACUGUGGCUGACAGGGUUUAUUAUGUGAAACAGCACCUUGUUUAGUU
ensembl:lncRNA